AAAUUGUAUUUGUUGCCCACGUCAGAACCGUUAAAACAAAUUGUCCCACGUCCUAAAUCCCUGCUAGACCACUCUCAUUCAUCUUCGUGUGUCUGUACAUUUUAAACCAAAUAACCCUAAAAAUUAAUUAGUCCCGCUGUUCCUUCUUUUUUCUACCGCCGCUGUUCUGACUGCCUCCAGUUGCUCCCUCAUGCUUCCGGUGUUCUUUGCUGCCGCCAAUUUUUUCGUGUGAUGGUGCCGUUGGAUUUUUCUCCUCUUUCCUUUUGACCUCGCCGCUUUAGAUUCCUGGCUCCGCCUCUUUUUUAUCGCCACUGCUGCUUCUCUUCAACAACUCUACUUAUCAGGAGAUUUAAGUUAUGAUGACCGAGGAGGAGUCUAAGAAGUUUAAAGAUGGAAGUAAAUGAUUUGGCAGUGGAAUAGCAACAAAAUCGACAUCUCCAUUUAUCAAAUUUAUUGUUUAGUUGAGUUUUUAUAUUAUUAGCAACAUCUUGUAUUUAUUUGAAUAAUUUAUUAUUUUAGGAUAUCAACACUUUUGUAAUUAUCUCAUGUAGUUAACUUUGUUGAAUAAUUAUCUAUCCUAUUUAUUUUGGAAGUAAAAUUAUGAUUUUUUUAUC